AUUCCAGCUCCAAUAGCGUAUACUAAAGUUGUUGCAGUUAAAAAGCUCGUAGUUGAAUUUCUGGUCGUGGCGAUCGGUCCGCCCCUCACGGGGUGUGCACCUGGUCUCUACGUCCAUCCUCGGGGAGAGCAUGCCUGGCAUUUAGUUGUCGGGUGUGGGAUCCUCGUCAUUUACUGUGAGCAAAAUAGAGUGUUCAAAGCAGGCUUAGGCCGUUGAAUACAUUAGCAUGGAAUAAUAAGAUAGGACCUUGGUCUAUUUUGUUGGUUUGCAUUCCAAGGUAAUGAUUAAUAGGGAUAGUUGGGGGUAUUCGUAUUCAAUUGUCAGAGGUGAAAUUCUUGGAUUUAUGGAAGACGAACUACUGCGAAAGCAUUUACCAAGGAUGUUUUCAUUA
rnacentral:rRNA from 1 species